rnacentral:rRNA from 1 species
GACGAACGCUGGCGGCGUGCUUAACACAUGCAAGUCGAACGGAAAGGCCCUGCUUUUGUGGGGUGCUCGAGUGGCGAACGGGUGAGUAACACGUGAGUAACCUGCCCUUGACUUUGGGAUAACUUCAGGAAACUGGGGCUAAUACCGGAUAGGAGCUCCUGCUGCAUGGUGGGGGUUGGAAAGUUUCGGCGGUUGGGGAUGGACUCGCGGCUUAUCAGCUUGUUGGUGGGGUAGUGGCUUACCAAGGCUUUGACGGGUAGCCGGCCUGAGAGGGUGACCGGCCUCAUUGGGACUAAGAUACGGCCCAGACUCCUACGGGAGGCAACAGUGGGGAAUAUUGCACAGUGGGCGGAAGCCUGAUGCAGCAACGCCGCGUGCGGAAUGACGGCCUUCGGGUUGUAAACCGCUUUCGCCUGUGACGAAGCGUGAGUGACGGUAAUGGGUAAAGAAGCACCGGCUAACUACGUG